GACGAACGCUGGCGGCGUGCUUAACACAUGCAAGUCGAACGGAAAGGCCCUGCUUUUGUGGGGUGCUCGAGUGGCGAACGGGUGAGUAACACGUGAGUAACCUGCCCUUGACUUUGGGAUAACUUCAGGAAACUGGGGCUAAUACCGGAUAGGAGCUCCUGCUGCAUGGUGGGGGUUGGAAAGUUUCGGCGGUUGGGGAUGGACUCGCGGCUUAUCAGCUUGUUGGUGGGGUAGUGGCUUACCAAGGCUUUGACGGGUAGCCGGCCUGAGAGGGUGACCGGCCAGAUUGGGACUGAGAUCCGGCCCAGACUCCUACGUGAGGCAGCAGUGGGGAAUAUUGCACAAUGGGCGGAAGCCUGAUGCAGCAACGCCGCGUGCGGGAUGACGGCCUUCGGGUUGUAAACCGCUUUCGCCUGUGACGAAGCGUGAGUGACGGUAAUGGGUAAAGAAGCACCGGCUAACUACGUG
rnacentral:rRNA from 1 species